CAGCCUCCUCUUUGCAGUCACUUCCAUCUCACCUGGAAGUAAUUGACUUCUAACCAACAGUGGUAUCUAUCCUGACCCAGCUAACUGGAGAGGCUACUGCUUCCUUCCUACCUUGAUGAAUGCCAGCCUGCUUUAAAGAUUUGCAAGAUUCCUUUUGCUGGCUUUUCCAUGUAUUUUAGCCCAGGCAAGAGCAUACAGGGAAAUGCUUCUUCCUCUGCCUGGAUGAGCAGGACCUGGCUUAAUACUGAGACAUAAAUGGGACUGUAGACCUAGGAGCACUUUAAUUGGGUUCUCUUCCCAGUUCUUCGGCAGUUCCUUGCAUGACCUUGGGGAAGUCACUGACCCUUUUAACUUGCACUGAAAUGCUGCAUCAGGCCUGAAUGCCAGAUCCCAGUGAACAGUCACCUGAAGCAAGCACCACAUGUAUGGCUGGAUGAGCUGCAAGAAGGAAGCUGCCCUACCUUCCAUGAUCCAUUUUCAACUGCAAUUCGAUCAUACUCUGGAGAAGGAAAGAGAUCAAAGCAGAGAACACGGCGGGCAUACUCUCAGGAUUAAAACUGGCCAGAGGCAAUCUGGCAGAACAAGUAAACAGCUCUUCAGCACUCUGAAGAAAAGCCUCAUCUAACGUGAACAUUUUUGUGCCCCUGCAAGCUCUCGCCCAGUUAGCCCUGCUGGCUUGGAAGGUCACAUCUGCUGCUCAUGUUAUUUUUUGUCAUCAUCCCAUCCAUAUUGCCCUUUUUCACCCUUGAACUUCAUUUAUGAAUAACAUUACAUCAACUCUUUUGGUUCCAUGACAAGACAGCAAAGACCUGUAUUCCUUAAGGAAAUGGGCUGAUCUUACAAUUACAACAUGCUUCACUUUAAAACCCCGAGCCUUGGUGUGCUGAGGAGAACUACUAUGUCUGUCUGAGAUGUAGGGCUGUCUCCUCAGGGUAUAUUUGGGGCUUAAAGGGUCAGUGUAUUUCAGUGUUUCAACAGGAUCCCAUUUCACUUUGGCAGAAUAGCACACAGAUGGAGGAGCCUGUGUUCUAUUUGGUACUUGAUACAUAUCACUUGGUACCUUGCCACUCUGAUGGGGCUUCUUCCUCUGUAUUCUCAUCUCUCUGAGAAAUGAAAUUUCUUUGCUCUAAGUUGGCUCCACAUCACAUCUUGAACAGAACAAGCUAAUCAGAAAGAAAAUGAGAGAGAUUGCACUCCUUGUCUUUCUGCAUGGAAGCCUAACACAUAACUUCUGCUUCUUUGUUUGACUUUUAUACUAAGAUAGAAUUGAUGCAAAGGAGCCAACCAGAGUGUUCAUUUUAGCUUCUAUAGGAGCUUGAUUUUUAAAGCAGACUUUAUUCCUACUGAGUUCAGGAGCUACUACAAUCUAG